rnacentral:misc_RNA from 1 species
UCACAACCAAGAAGAAUAGUCGGAAAAGGAUUUUAAGUUACCUUCAGCCCUUCCUCAAAUCCAAAAAGUGGAGUUCAGAACGAGAAAAGCUGACAGACGAACUGGGAAUCAUAGAAUUCGAAGUUGAUAGGAUAGGUUCCCUCGGGUCUCUGUAGCAUUCCUUUUCUUCACCCUUGGAUCUCAUUCUUAGUCUUCAAGCUCAACUACUCUUCCCACCUCUCCUUACUCGAUAAAAGAAAUGCUAUAAAGCUCUCCGAAAGGGAAAGCUUAUGCCUCUCACUUUAUGCUUUUAGGAAGACGUCGCGGUUACACCUUCCUGCUGACCAGUCGGAGAUUGUAGUUAUGAG